rnacentral:misc_RNA from 1 species
UACUUUAAAUCCAAUUCAGUAUAAGUUUAAUAUGUUGAAUUCUCAUAGGAAACAAGAAUAAAAAUGCAAAUGCACAGAAUAGAGCUACAUUUCAUUCCAACCACCAUCAUCCACAAUCUACGUUGCCAAACAAAUUUGGUCCCUUCAGAUACACGAAACUCCAGUUAGCCAUAAAAUCCUAAACCCAACAAGAAAUGCACAGGUAGAGCCCUCAGUCUCCCUCUUCAAGAGACAGCAACCUCAACUUUUUUGGCCUUGGGUG